rnacentral:rRNA from 1 species
CCUACGAGAGGCAGCAGUGAGGAAUAUUGGUCAAUGGGCGGGAGCCUGAACCAGCCAAGCCGCGUGAAGGAAGAAGGCGCCAAGCGUCGUAAACUUCUUUUGUCGGGGAACAAAGGGCGCCACGUGUGGCGUUGUGAGUGUACCCGAAGAAACAGCAUCGGCUAACUCCGUGCCAGCAGCCGCGGUAAUCCGGAGGAUGAGAGCGUUAUCCGGCUUUAUUGGGUUAAAGGGGUCGGUGGGCGGUCCGGAAGGUCAGCGGUAAAAGCCCGGGGCUCAACCCCGGCGAGCCGUUGAAACUGUCGGACUAGAGAGGGCGAGAAGUAAGCGGAAUGCGCGGUGUAGCGGUGAAAUGCAUAGAUAUCGCGCAGAACUCCGAUUGCGAAGGCAGCGUACCGGCGCCGAACUGACGCUGAGGCACGAAAGCGUGGGUAUCGAACAGGAUUAGAUACCCUAGUAGUC